UGGAUUGUAGAAGUUAAUGGGAAACUAACUCUUAAUGUAACAAAGAACCCUUCAAUUUCUACUGAACCCUUCAAUUUGCGAAACCUAAAGGUGAUCAAAGGAGACUCGCCGCCGUGGACUUGCCAGAACUCUUAGUCUCCGUCCGACGAGACAUCUCUCAGAUCCAAACCCUAUGUUCCGAGAUGGAUGACCUCUGGCGAUAUGUCGCAUGAAAACCGCAACGUGAUCUAUGGAAGAGGAAAAAUCUGUCAAUAAAGUGGAGCAAGUAGCAGAAGAGUAUGAUUCGUUCAGAGAGAGAGGGAGUUUAGAUCGGUAUAUGCAACGGUAGCAGAGAAGGAUGGAAGAAGCGCAAGAGAGGUCACUUGGAAGAACUGUAUGUAAGUUAAAUUAAUUGUUAAGUUGACUGUGUUUUACUUUUAGCUAGGUAUCGAUCAAUAAGUUAUUUUCAUACAUUAGUCAGAAUCUCUCUCUCACACACAUAAUGUAUAUAUACAUCUAAUAUGAUUUGUGAAUGCCUGAAUGAACGUAUGGUUAGAUUUUUUUUUCUU
rnacentral:lncRNA from 1 species